UACGUAGGGUGCGAGCGUUGUCCGGAAUUACUGGGCGUAAAGAGCUCGUAGGUGGUUUGUCGCGUUGUUCGUGAAAUCUCACGGCUUAACUGUGAGCGUGCGGGCGAUACGGGCAGACUAGAGUACUGCAGGGGGAGACUGGAAUUCCUGGUGUAGCGGUGGAAUGCGCAGAUAUCAGGAGGAACACCGGUGGCGAAGGCGGGUCUCUGGGCAGUAACUGACGCUGAGGAGCGAAAGCAUGGGGGAGCGAACAGG
rnacentral:rRNA from 1 species